GGAUGAAGGAAGCAUGGUAAUGUGUACGGAGAUUGAUAUUUUCGUCGGGUCGCCAUGUCCGCCGUCUUUGAUUUUCUUCUUGAUCUGAGGGCCUGGCUUAGACCUACAUUC
rnacentral:snoRNA from 1 species